UACGAAGGGGGCUAGCGUUGCUCGGAAUCACGGGGCGUAAAGCGCACGUAGGCGGACUCUUAAGUCGGUGGUGAAAUCCUGGAGCUCAACUCCAGAACUGCCUCCGAUACUGGGAGCCUUCGAGUCCGGGAGAGGUGAGUGGAACUGCGAGUGUAGAGGUGAAAUCCGUAGAUAUUCGCAAGAACACCAGUGGCGAAGGCGGCUCACUGGCCCGGUACUGACGCUGAGGUGCGAAAGCGUGGGGAGCAAACAGG
rnacentral:rRNA from 1 species